rnacentral:ncRNA from 2 species
AAAUCAACUUCAUACGAUCCUUAUAUAUCUAUGGAAAUAUGGUCCAUAAGUUUCUACCCGGCAGCCGUAAAAUGCCGGACUAUAAGGAAGGUUAGAACGCCC